GUAGCUAGCAAAUCCCAUAAACCGUGGCUCAGUUCAGAUCGUAGGCUGCAACUCGCCUACGUGAAGCAGGAAUCGCUAGUAAUCGCAGGUCAGCAUACUGCGGUGAAUACGUUCCCGGGCCUUGUACACACCGCCCGUCACACCAUGGAAGUUGGCCAUGCCCGAAGUCGUUACUCCAACCCUUGUGGAGGAGGACGCCGAAGGUGGGGCUAAUGACUGGGGUGAAGUCGUAACAAGGUAGCCGUACCGGAAGGUGCGGCUGGAUCACCUCCUAA
rnacentral:rRNA from 1 species